CUGCCACCAGAUAGCUCAAUGGCUUCAUGGAUGUUAAGUGAUUCCUCACUGAAGCUGAAUAAUUUGUGGUGCUGCUUAUUCUCAUACUGCUCCCGGCGGAUUUGACAAGGAGCUCGGAAUGUUGCCAAUCAACAAAUUGUGGCUUAGAUCCCUGUCCAAGAUAUCAGUGUUAGAGCUGUUCUUCAGCCAUGAUAACACGAGUUAUGGGCUCACUUACAGAUUUUGGAGUUCUGAAAGAAGGCCAACAGAUUCAGGUAUCGAGCCAUUUAAUUUAUUUCUUCCAAGUUUCAGAGUCAUUAAAUUUGAUAGGUUCCCUAACUCUUGUGGAAUUCCUCCUGUUAUGCUGUUACCGUCCAAUAACCUGAAAACAAGUAUGUAAUGAUCAGAAAGUCAUCCCUUUUGGAAGGAAAAGUGAGAUGUAUGUUUGACUAGACUCUUUCUUGUAAAGUGUAAUCUUGAAAUACAACAUAGUUGCAGAGUAGAUAACUGAACUUACAGCUGCUGUAAAGUUUUUAUCGUUGCAAUGCUGGGUGACAAGACUCCACUUAAUCCUGACGAGCUCAAAGUUCUGCAAAUUUGGAAAUGAGAAACUAGCAUGUAGUCACCUGAGCAUGAGUAAAUUGCUACAGAGAACUGUAUUAUAAUAGUAAAAGGACGAAUGAGUUGAUCAUGAAGAAUGUGCUGCCGAAGUGAAACCCUUGUUUUCUGAUGAGAGGUUUUCAAGGGUUCUAAGUUGGUAUCAAGCAUUUCAAAAAUUAUUUAGUAGAAGUAGUGAAGAUUUCACUAUGCUCAGUGUAUUUUUUAAAAGUACUUGAGAUGAAUUCUUUCAAGGGACAAAUGAGUUGAUCAUGAAGAAUGUGCUGCCGAAGUGAAACCCUUGUUUUCUGAUGAGAGGUUUUCAAGGGUUCUAAGUUGGUAUCAAGCAUUUCAAAAAUAAUUUAGUAGAAGUAGUGAAGAUUUCACUAUGCUCAGUGUAUUUUUUAAAAGUACUUGAGAUGAAUUCUUUCACUUACAUUCCAAUAACGUCGCCGUGUUGAUCACAUCUAACAUUAGCAAGGUAGCAGGGACUAACUUGAUUAUCAUUCCAGUCUUUCAAAACACCGCGGCUGUCGGUGAGCAUCAUCCUUAUUUCAUGCAGUGCUAUGACUGAGAAAAAAAAGUCAUUUUGUUUGCAGGAUUAUGAGGUAGGCACUAAAUACAAGAGAAUGUAUCUGUUCAGUGUUUCACUUGCAAUCUGGAUCCUAACUGAUGCAAACCAAAAGUAGUCCAAUUCAUUAAAAUAAUUUAAUAUUUAAUAUUUGACGAGAAGUGCUUUUACAGUUUUAUGCUCCCUAGGAAUAGAACUGAAAAUCUACUAAGCAAUUGAAGGAGUGGUUGAUAUCCACUAGCCAGCACUGGUGUAUUAGUAGCUCAAUUUUAGGCCUCAUUUACAACACAUUCCGUAGGAUUACUAUGGUAAUUAUACUGUUUAUAUGAAACAUACUUGGCUAAUUAUAAUUUAUAAAGACAGGGAAGCAAAUCUCCAACUGAUAGUCUAGUCAAAUAGAAAUAAUCAAUAGUUCACAGUAAAAUAUUCCAAUUAAAUCUGAAAUAACCUAAUGCUGACCAUGUAGAGUAAUAUCUGAUGUGGCAAAGAUAUUCAAAUAUAUGUCAAAAUAUAAGGGAUUUACCUUGGCGGUCAGGAGCUGCCAAAGAUUGGAGGCACCCCAAUAAAACUAAUCCGAAAGCUACUAACUUCAUGCUUUCUGAAACUAUUUUUCGGGAGCACAAACACUGCUCGAUUUAUUCUGAAUUUGUGCUUGAUGGAACACAGAAGGAUCAGUUUAAUCUGAAUUAGUGCCAGGUAGCCGCAUUACUGAAUAGCAAAAUAAAGUGUGUGAGAAGACCAGCAGAGCAAACUGAGAAGAAUGGAACACACAAAGCAGCAAGACAAUAAUGUUGAGAGAGAAGUCUGACAAGAACCUACAACUGAAAAACAGGAAGGAAGAUUCAGGUUAAUGAAAUCCUAAUUGCAAUGCUCAAAAUUGGUUUCAGUUACAGAUUAUCAUUUCCAUCUCAAGUCCAUAGACUGGAUCCAGUGAGACUACCGAAUAUAAAGAUGAGACACAAUGGCCCAGUAACUAUUGUUUUGAAAUAAAUGAUGCUACUGCUGGAAUAAAGGUGGAAGCUUCUGAACAUAAUCUACUGCACCUGAGUGCUUGAGCAAAACAAAACCUCCCCAAUUCAUCCCUUCCCUGCACACAAGGGAAGCAAGAGACCAGACAACCUCAGAGAAGAACACACAGCGGUCACUCUAAAGGAAGGAAAGCAAUCAAGUGAAGCAAAGAAGAGGCAGAGGAACAUUCAGAAGUUAACCAUGUGUACAUGGAAGGAGAACUUACAGGAGAAGAGCGACAGGCAGAAGCAUGUGUGGUGCUCCUGCAAUCCUUUGACCUUUCUUAUUUCAGGUGUAUCUUAGAAGAAGACACUGAGUCUGAGCUCAGAGGGAAGUGUCGUACUGGACUCCGACACAUGCAUUUGACUUGAGUGGGUGAAAUUUAACAGAGUGCUUCAUGAAGGAAUAAGCGAUGAAGUCCGUUCAUCUCAUCAUAUCUCGCAACGGACAUCUCAGAUCGAAUGCCUCAUGGACUCGCCGGUGCACAGUUGAUCUGGGCCAUCUACUGGUGAUCCAAUGGCUGAAAUGCACUCUGAAACCAAGUGGAUUUGUUGGAGCCUUCCUGCUGAUGUUGACGUAGUUGAACAAUAUAUAUUCCCUGAUCUUAAAACGACAAUCGGCAAUAAACGAAUUACAGGUCAUGGUCCUCUGCUCAGUGUGUUAUAUCUUCCCAAGAUGUGCCUUUCAUGAUGACCAUGGCACCACAAGAAGCGUGGAUAUGAUCAGUUUGUCUAUUACUCCCCUUCAAUUAUUUGUAGUACUAUUUGCGGGUUGCUAUCCUAUUAGUUACCAGAGUAUAGCUUAUUCGGGAAUCACUGGUUUCAUUAAUUACAUUUCCAUUCCAACACUAACAUGCUAUAUUCUCCCACUAAAAUUUGUGUUAACCCGUAGUUUAGGUUUUAGCUGGUAGUAGUGAGUGGUGACACAUCCUUAAUUAGUUAGCACAUAGUACUGCUUUAUUUUGCCCCACUCCCCUUGUUUUGCUUUGGUCAGUUGCAGGUGACUAUGAAUGUUUUUUUUUUAAUAAUAAAAGGCUGUGGGCAUCUAUCGAUGCAGAGGCCGGGGUGCUCCCCAUUUCGGAAAAAAAGUUGCAGGUGCCAUUGUUGGAGUUUUGCCUUUUCUCCGGCUUUCUUGACAUGUAUAUAUGGUUGGAAGGUUCUGUAUUGUGCAGUGUAAGCAAAGAGAUUCUGUUGAAGGUUGACUCUUGCCCAGCAUGCUAAAAUCUGUAUUUAUGUGCCACUCUUCACUUCAUAGUUCCAUUUCAUGCACAGAAGUAUAUCUGUAUAUCAAAAGUGCAGUACUACGUGUAUAUAAGCUGAAUCUGGAUAUCUAAAUACUUUUGGUUAUACAGUAAAGUUGCAC